UACGUAGGUGGCGAGCGUUGUCCGGAUUUACUGGGCGUAAAGGGAGCGUAGGCGGACUUUUAAGUGAGAUGUGAAAUACUCGGGCUCAACUUGAGUGCUGCAUUUCAAACUGGAAGUCUAGAGUGCAGGAGAGGAGAAUGGAAUUCCUAGUGUAGCGGUGAAAUGCGUAGAGAUUAGGAAGAACACCAGUGGCGAAGGCGAUUCUCUGGACUGUAACUGACGCUGAGGCUCGAAAGCGUGGGGAGCUAACAGG
rnacentral:rRNA from 1 species